GCUUGUCUCAAAGAUUAAGCCAUGCAUGUCUAAGUAUAAACAAAUCUAUACUGUGAAACUGCGAAUGGCUCAUUAUAUCAGUUAUAGUUUAUUUGAUGGUCCUUGCUACUUGGAUAACCGUAGUAAUUCUAGAGCUAAUACAUGCACUAAACCCCGACUUCUGGAAGGGGUGUAUUUAUUAGUUGGAAACCAAAGCGGGGUAACCCGGAAUCUGGUGAUUCAUAAUAACUGUCGGAUCGAUUUUCGGAUCGAUGCAUCAUUCAAGUUUCUGCCCUAUCAGCUUUGGAUGGUAGGGUAUUGGCCUACCAUGGCUUUAACGGGUAACGGAGAAUUAGGGUUCGAUUCCGGAGAGGGAGCCUGAGAAAUGGCUACCACAUCCAAGGAAGGCAGCAGG
rnacentral:rRNA from 1 species